AACGUAGGAGGCAAGCGUUAUCCGGAGUUACUGGGCGUAAAGCGCGUGUAGGCGGUGCAGCAGGUCAGAUGUGAAAGCUCCCAGGCUUAACCGGGAGAGGUCAUUUGAAACCGCUGCGCUUGAGGAUGAUAGAGGGAUGUGGAAUUCCGGGUGUAGUGGUGAAAUGCGUAGAUAUCCGGAGGAACACCAGUGGCGAAGGCGGCAUCCUGGGUCAUUUCUGACGCUGAGACGCGAAAGCAUGGGGAGCGAACGGG
rnacentral:misc_RNA from 1 species